CGACUCUCGACAACGGAUAUCUAGGCUCUCGCAUCCAUGAAGAACGCAGCAAG
rnacentral:rRNA from 1 species